AUGUCUGUUUUAUAUGCUUGUAAGCUCUGCUUCCUCCUUGCUCUGCUGAAUUCGGCCAGCCACGCCGUCGCCGGCAAUGUGGCACCACCGACACUGAGCGCCGGAUUCAGUCUGCCUAUCGUGUCCAACCACAACACAGCCGGCGGGCUCGGGCAGUUUGACGCGAACCUCACGAGCAUAGGUCCGCACAUAGCACCCGUGGGGUGGCCCUUGUACGGCGUCCUCGUCGGCGUUGGCUCUGGCCAAACCCGGCACUUUUACAAGCUCGGGCUGGACCUCGUCGGCAAUCUGACGUGGAUGCAGUGCAAGCCCUGCGUGCCCGAGGUUCGGCAGGAGGGCGCCGUCUUCAACUCUGCUGAGUCCCCUCGCUACAAGCACAUGAAGCCCGCAGACCCCAAGUGUACGCCCCCCUACACCCCCUCCGGCCAGAACCGGUGCAGCUUCUACACCACCUCCUGGAACGUCGCCGCGCACGGCUACCUCGGCAGCGACACGUUUGCCUUCGCCGGCAGCCCCGGCGCAGGAGGACACAACAGGGACGUUGACAACCUCAUCUUGGGUUGCGCACACACGACGAACGGGUUCGAGCACCUGGACCACAACAUUCUCGCCGGGGUCCUGAGCUUGAGCAGGCACCCGACGUCGUUCAUGAGCCAGCUCACCGCACGCGGGCUGGCCGACUCACGGUUCUCAUAUUGUCUCUUCCCCGGACAGAGCCACCCCAACGCCAGGCACGGGUUCCUCCGCUUCGGCCGCGACAUCCCGAGGCACGACCACGCGCACAGCACGCCGCUGCUGUUCACUGGAUCGGGCUACGGCCAAAGUAGCAUGUACUACAUCCACGUCUUCAGCAUCAGCUUGAACGGGAAAAGGCUUAACGGGGUAAAGACGGCGAUGUUUAGGCGGGAUCCACAAACCCGUCGCGGGGGGUUCGUCGUCGACCCCGGGACUCCCCUGACCAGGCUGGCUCGCGCGGCGUAUGACGUCGUGGAGGCCGAGGUCGCGGCAAACAUGCACAAGCAGGGGGCGCGCCGCUCGACGGUGCCGGUGCAGGGGUACCGCCUCUGCUUUGGCUCGUGGGGCCACGCGCACCUCCCGAGCUUGACCGUGACCCUGUACGAAGACGCGACCAGGCUUUUUAUCAAGCCGGAACUGUUAUUCAUGAGGGUGAACCAUGAGCACCUGUGCUUCGCCGUCGUGCCGGACGAGGAGAUGACGGUGCUCGGCGCGGCGCAGCAGGUGGACACGCGGUUCACAUUUGACCUCCCGGGGAAUCGUCUCUACUUUGCCCAGGAGCAUUGUAGUGCUGACACUCGCCCAACUGUCUAG
rnacentral:rRNA from 1 species